ensembl:lncRNA novel transcript
UUUAAAAAGAACUGUGAUAUUUGACAAAUACACUUGCUUUGUUCCCAGUCAUCAUUUUCACUAUGUCUUUGGCAGCAGUUUUGGUAAGUGUGUGAACAAUGAAUUCAGUAGGUCUAACCUUUGCAAUUCAGUACAACCUUAUAAAAUGUGGUUUCCAUAGCUUUUGCCUUUGGCCUGUUGUGUUUAGCUUUAGGUGAUGAUGAAAUGUCCUUCCAUUCUAGGUGGAUAAGUCUCACGAGAUCUGAUGGUUUUAAAAAUGGGAGUUUCCCUGUACAAGCUCUCUCUUUGCCUGCUGCCAUCUGUGUAAGAAGUGACUUGCUCCUCCUUGCCCUCCGACAUGAUCAUGAGGCCUCCCCAGCCACAUGGAAUUGAAGCAAAGGACUCUGAAAUGGUGGAACACGAUGCAAGGAACCUGUAUCCUUGGGUUUACCCCUCAGAGGAAAACCACCCUGGAGAGUUGCUCAUACAGGAACCAUCUCAUAGGACUUUGUAUUCCAAGAUUAUAAAAAUAUUCUCCUGGCUGGGGCACAGUGGCUCACAACUGUAACCCCAACACUUUGGGAGGCUGAGGUGAGUGGCUCGCUUGAGGCCAGGAGUUCGAGAUCAGCCUAGGCAACACAUAACCCGGUCUCAAA